CAUACAAACCGAGAUGUUACUCUUUCCUGGAAUUUGCUUAACAUUUUCAUUUUUACCUUUCUGUUUACAUUUUCUUCGCUGUUUACAAUGGCUAGACAUGGAACUGAAGAGAGAGGCAGCUGCACAGUCCUAAAAUUGUGGUAAGUCUAAAUUCUUCUAACAACAUAAGUUUUGUAACAAAGCAUUUUUACUUGUAUUUUGUAGGAGGCAGUCCGUCAGCUACACAAUUAGGUGCUGUGACCCGGAGCAAGGAUUAAGCUCAUCAUAUAAUGAGACGGUCACCUCAUUUUAGUGGGAGCACUGUCCAUAAGCCCGGAAUUGUGCGAUGAAGGCCUUGAUAAAAAUGACUUUGUUGUUGCCUGCAAGACGUACUAUAAGACCGUGUGCAGAAAUUUCCGGUACAGCCAGCCAGAGCUAGCAAGUGUGGCUGCAGCUAAUAAGACCUCAGCCCGGAGUCACCAGAGGAGGAAGAGGGUAAGACAGAUUAGAAUUAAAUUCAUUUUACUUAUUUCUGUUGCAUUAGUAUAAACUGUAAUGAUGUACAUGUUGCUUAUUAUAUGCAACAAUUGGGUUUUCAACUCCUGGAGGCGAGGCUAAGUGUACUGGCUGCAGACAAAGUGGACUUCUGGAGGGAAAUCACCGCUGACAUGAUGUCAGACGAAGAAGAUGGUACCGUUGAUGGAGUCUUGGGACGGAUUGUGAGACCUCCAUCGUUCCACAGCCAGGAGCUCAGCAAUCUGUGUGCUAAGCUGCAGGCGAGACUAGAAGCCAGUUCAAAGUAUGCAGCACUGCAUCACCGGCGUCUGCGAACUGGGCUGCCGUCUAACAGAACGCCAUCGCAUACCUACGACCCCGAGGCAGCAAAAAUACAUUUGAUGCGAUGCCAUUAAAAUAAUCUCUGGCUACUUUUUGUGUAUUUAUUUUUCCUAUGCCUUAUUAAUAAAACUCUUUAUCAA